AAUAAUGUAAAAUUGUCGAUUUACAUACUCAUUUUUGAAAUUGGAAAGAUUAAAUUACUCUGGUUUUUUAAAGAUAUCAAAUUUAAGAGAAGCUGUUUUUACCCAUUUUUUUAAUUCCAAAUUUAUAAAAAUUACAAAUUUCCCACCCGCUAUUAUCCUCGGCCAGAAUGGCGGCAAAGAACAAAAGAAAGUAACACGGGCUUAACAGCAGCCCAAAGCUGGCAAAGAAUUGAGAAUGUUGUUGAGGACAGCUACGGAUUUCAAAUUACAGAAAUGGCUUUUACAAAAGAGGGAAAAUGAUGGAAGCCCAUUUAAUUUGUUUGAAUGUUGGGUGUUUCAAUUCAACGGAAAUGAAUCGCCAUUGUUGCUUCACGGGGAAGUUUCUGGUCAUUGCGAAGUAUAUCUACAUUGCUAUUGGUCUGCCAAAACCAUGGACGGCCAAUUUUGUUCCUCUGAUCUUGCUGAAGCAAUGUACUAUUGAUCUGCAAACCAUUUGCUGUUGUUUCGGCAAGGCAGAGGAAUCGGUACGUUUCUGUUACCAACAUGACGUGUAGCCCUUCACUACAGAACAUUUCGAAGCGUCCAUUGUCUGGAUUUUGUUAGCAAAAUUAUCCCCUUAAAUGAUAUCCAUUAAAAGCAGGAGAAAUGAUAUCCAUUAAAAGCAGGAGCUUGUUCAAGGUGCUAGAAAUUUUGUACUUUGACCACUUUAAAUAGAUCUCAAGGUGUUGUCUGGAAAUUUGCCUAUGGAGUCUCUGCCUGAAUGUGAGUGCAAGUUCAUUGGAAGGUAUGUUUUACACAUAUAUUGAAAGAUUUCAAGAGAGCUUUGAAUAAAAUUGUACUUCUCUUAUUAACUAAAGAA